rnacentral:tRNA from 1 species
GGAGGUGUGGCUCAGUGGUAGUGAGCAUACCUAGCAUGUUCAUGGUCCUGGGUUCCAUCCCCAGCACUGUCA